UACGAAGGGGGCGAGCGUUGUUCGGAAUUACUGGGCGUAAAGGGCGCGUAGGCGGCCGAUCAAGUCAGAUGUGAAAGUCCUGGGCUUAACCUGGGGACUGCAUUUGAUACUGAUUGGCUUGAAUUCGGGAGAGGAUAGCGGAAUUCCCAGUGUAGAGGUGAAAUUCGUAGAUAUUGGGAAGAACACCGGUGGCGAAGGCGGCUAUCUGGACGAUGACUGACGCUGAGACGCGAAAGUGUGGGGAGCAAACAGG
rnacentral:rRNA from 1 species